GCCGGGGUGGCUCAGUUGGUUAAGCGUCUGACUUCGGCUCAGGUCACGAUCUCGCGGUCCGUGGGUUCAAGCCCCGCGUUGGGCU
rnacentral:tRNA from 1 species